rnacentral:misc_RNA from 1 species
AAGUCGUAACAAGGUUUCCGUAGGUGAACCUGCGGAAGGAUCAUUACAGUUUGUGCUUUAUUGCAUAUACACCUUGGUUUAAUUUAAACUUGCUUUGCCGGGAGAAAUCACGGCGGAGAAUACACUAAAAACAUUUUAUUAUUAUUCAAAAACUAUUAAAUAUCAAAACUUUCAACAACGGAUCUCUUGGUUCUC